rnacentral:tRNA from 1 species
GCCUGGCUGGCUCAGUCAGUAGAGCGUGAGACUCUUGAGUUCAGGGUUGUGAGUUCAAGCCCCGCUCUGGGUG